rnacentral:rRNA from 4 species
AACGGAUCUCUUGGUUCUGGCAUCGAUGAAGAACGCAGCGAAAUGCGAUAAGUAAUGUGAAUUGCAGAAUUCAGUGAAUCAUCGAAUCUUUGAACGCACAUUGCGCCCCCUGGUAUUCCGGGGGGCAUGCCUGUUCGAGCGUCAUUU